rnacentral:rRNA from 1 species
GAUGAACGCUGGCGGCGUGCCUAAUACAUGCAAGUCGAGCGAACGGACGAGAAGCUUGCUUCUCUGAUGUUAGCGGCGGACGGGUGAGUAACACGUGGAUAACCUACCUAUAAGACUGGGAUAACUUCGGGAAACCGGAGCUAAUACCGGAUAAGAUUUUGAACCGCAGGGUUCAAAAGUGAAAGACGGUCCUGCUGCCACUUAUAGAUGGAUCCGCGCUGCAGUAGCUAGGUGGUAAGGUAACGGCCUACCAAGGCAACGAUGCGUAGGCGAGCUGAGAGGGUGAUCGGCCACCUUGGAACUGAGACACGGUCCAGACUCCUACGGGAGGCAGCAGUAGGGAAUCUUCGGCAAUGGGCGAAAGCCUGACGGAGCCACGCCGCGUGAGUGAUGAAGGUCUUCGGAUCGUAAAACUCUGUUAUUAGGGAAGAACAUAUGUGUAAUUAAAUGUGCACAUCUUGACGGUACCUAAUCAGAAAGCCCCGGCUAACUACGUG